rnacentral:hammerhead_ribozyme from 1 species
ACCCAGCUGACGAGUUCCAAAUAGGACGAAACGCGCGUCCUGGAU